rnacentral:rRNA from 1 species
GAUGAACGCUGGCGGCGUGCCUAACACAUGCAAGUCGAGCGGCAGCGAGGGGUGCUUGCACCCUGUCGGCGAGCGGCGGACGGCUGAGUAACGCGUGGGAACGUGCCCCAAAGUGAGGAAUAACUGCCCGAAAGGGUAGCUAAUACCGCAUAUUAUCUUCGGAUCAAAGGAUUUAUCCGCUUUGGGAGCGGCUCGCGUCGGAUUAGGUAGUUGGUGAGGUAAUGGCUCACCAAGCCGACGAUCCGUAGCUGGUCUGAGAGGAUGACCAGCCAGACUGGAACUGAGACACGGUCCAGACUCCUACGGGAGGCAGCAGUGAGGAAUCUUCCACAAUGGGCGAAAGCCUGAUGGAGCAACGCCGCGUGCAGGACGAAGGCCUUCGGGUUGUAAACUGCUUUUAUAAGUGAGGAAUAUGACGGUAACUUAUGAAUAGGGAUCGGCUAACUACGUG